CAAAGUCCACUCUCUGAUCACUCAUCAGCUCCCGGAGAUUAACGAAAUCGGAAAACCAAUCCAACUAUUUUUUUUGAUUUCCGAUAGAAAAAAAUGUCUCAGAGCCUUAAUCCGAAUCCAACUUACGACGUGAUAAUCUUAGGGGCUUCUGGUUUUACUGGGAAGUACGUCAUUAGAGAAGCUCUCAAAUUCCUCAAUGUUCCCUCUUCCCCCUUGAAGAACUUAGCCAUUGCUGGCCGUAACAAUUCUAAGCUUUCCCAGGCUCUUCAAUGGGCUUCCCGUCCAAACCCACCACCCGAAAUUCCCAUUCUCACUGCCGAUACCACUGACCCAUCUUCCCUCCGUGAACUUGCUUCACAGACUAAGAUCAUUCUUAACUGUGUCGGACCGUUUCGGAUUUAUGGUGAGCCUGUUGUUGAGGCCUGUGCUGAUUCUGGAUGCGAUUACUUGGAUAUUUCUGGGGAGCCUGAGUUUAUGGAG
rnacentral:misc_RNA from 1 species